UUAAGCGACUAAGCGUACACGGUGGAUGCCCUGGCAGUCAGAGGCGAUGAAGGACGUGCUAAUCUGCGAAAAGCGUCGGUAAGGUGAUAUGAACCGUUAUAACCGGCGAUGUCCGAAUGGGGAAACCCAGUGCAAUUCGUUGCACUAUCGUUAACUGAAUACAUAGGUUAACGAGGCGAACCGGGGGAACUGAAACAUCUAAGUACCCCGAGGAAAAGAAAUCAACCGAGAUUCCCCCAGUAGCGGCGAGCGAACGGGGAGCAGCCCAGAGUCUGAAUCAGCUUGUGUGUUAGUGGAACGGUCUGGAAAGUCCGACGGUACAGGGUGAUAGUCCCGUACACCAAAAUGCACAGGCUGUGAACUCGAAGAGUAGGGCGGGACACGUGGUAUCCUGUCUGAAUAUGGGGGGACCAUCCUCCAAGGCUAAAUACUCCUGACUGACCGAUAGUGAACCAGUACCGUGAGGGAAAGGCGAAAAGAACCCCGGCGAGGGGAGUGAAAAAGAACCUGAAACCGUGUACGUACAAGCAGUGGGAGCACCUUCGGGUGUGACUGCGUACCUUUUGUAUAAUGGGUCAGCGACUUAUAUUCUGUAGCAAGGUUAACCGUAUAGGGGAGCCGCAGGGAAACCGAGUCUUAACUGGGCGUUAAGUUGCAGGGUAUAGACCCGAAACCCGGUGAUCUAGCCAUGGGCAGGUUGAAGGUUGGGUAACACUAACUGGAGGACCGAACCGACUAAUGUUGAAAAAUUAGCGGAUGACUUGUGGCUGGGGGUGAAAGGCCAAUCAAACCGGGAGAUAGCUGGUUCUCCCCGAAAGCUAUUUAGGUAGCCGCCUCGUGAAUUCAUCUUCGGGGGUAGAGCACUGUUUCGGCUAGGGGGUCAUCCCGACUUACCAACCCGAUGCAAACUACGAAUACCGAAGAAUGUUAUCACGGGAGACACACGGCGGGUGCUAACGUCCGUCGUGAAGAGGGAAACAACCCAGACCGCCAGCUAAGGUCCCAAAGUCAUGGUUAAGUGGGAAACGAUGUGGGAAGGCACAGACAGCCAGGAUGUUGGCUUAGAAGCAGCCAUCAUUUAAAGAAAGCGUAAUAGCUCACUGGUCGAGUCGGCCUGCGCGGAAGAUGUAACGGGGCUAAACCAUGCACCGAAGCUGCGGCAGCGACACUAUGUGUUGUUGGGUAGGGGAGCGUUCUGUAAGCCUGCGAAGGUGACCUGUGAGGGUUGCUGGAGGUAUCAGAAGUGCGAAUGCUGACAUAAGUAACGAUAAAGCGGGUGAAAAGCCCGCUCGCCGGAAGACCAAGGGUUCCUGUCCAACGUUAAUCGGGGCAGGGUGAGUCGACCCCUAAGGCGAGGCCGAAAGGCGUAGUCGAUGGAAACAGGUUAAUAUUCCUGUACUUGGUGUUACUGCGAAGGGGGGACGGAGAAGGCUAUGUUAGCCGGGCGACGGUUGUCCCGGUUUAAGCAUGUAGGCUGGUUGUCCAGGCAAAUCCGGAUAAUCAAGGCUGAGGUGUGAUGACGAGGCACUACGGUGCUGAAGUAACAAAUGCCCUGCUUCCAGGAAAAGCCUCUAAGCAUCAGGUAACAUCAAAUCGUACCCCAAACCGACACAGGUGGUCAGGUAGAGAAUACCAAGGCGCUUGAGAGAACUCGGGUGAAGGAACUAGGCAAAAUGGUGCCGUAACUUCGGGAGAAGGCACGCUGGUGUGUAGGUGAAGUCCCUGCGGAUGGAGCUGAGACCAGUCGAAGAUACCAGCUGGCUGCAACUGUUUAUUAAAAACACAGCACUGUGCAAACACGAAAGUGGACGUAUACGGUGUGACGCCUGCCCGGUGCCGGAAGGUUAAUUGAUGGGGUUAUCCGUAAGGAGAAGCUCUUGAUCGAAGCCCCGGUAAACGGCGGCCGUAACUAUAACGGUCCUAAGGUAGCGAAAUUCCUUGUCGGGUAAGUUCCGACCUGCACGAAUGGCGUAAUGAUGGCCAGGCUGUCUCCACCCGAGACUCAGUGAAAUUGAACUCGCUGUGAAGAUGCAGUGUACCCGCGGCAAGACGGAAAGACCCCGUGAACCUUUACUAUAGCUUGACACUGAACAUUGAGCCUUGAUGUGUAGGAUAGGUGGGAGGCUUUGAAGCGUGGACGCCAGUCUGCGUGGAGCCAACCUUGAAAUACCACCCUUUAAUGUUUGAUGUUCUAACGUUGGCCCCUUAUCGGGGUUGCGGACAGUGUCUGGUGGGUAGUUUGACUGGGGCGGUCUCCUCCCAAAGCGUAACGGAGGAGCACGAAGGUUAGCUAAUCCUGGUCGGACAUCAGGAGGUUAGUGCAAUGGCAUAAGCUAGCUUGACUGCGAGCGUGACGGCGCGAGCAGGUGCGAAAGCAGGUCAUAGUGAUCCGGUGGUUCUGAAUGGAAGGGCCAUCGCUCAACGGAUAAAAGGUACUCCGGGGAUAACAGGCUGAUACCGCCCAAGAGUUCAUAUCGACGGCGGUGUUUGGCACCUCGAUGUCGGCUCAUCACAUCCUGGGGCUGAAGUAGGUCCCAAGGGUAUGGCUGUUCGCCAUUUAAAGUGGUACGCGAGCUGGGUUUAGAACGUCGUGAGACAGUUCGGUCCCUAUCUGCCGUGGGCGCUGGAGAAUUGAGGGGGGCUGCUCCUAGUACGAGAGGACCGGAGUGGACGCAUCACUGGUGUUCGGGUUGUCAUGCCAAUGGCACUGCCCGGUAGCUAAAUGCGGAAGAGAUAAGUGCUGAAAGCAUCUAAGCACGAAACUUGCCCCGAGAUGAGUUCUCCCUGAGACUUUAAGUCUCCUGAAGGAACGUUGAAGACGAUGACGUUGAUAGGCCGGGUGUGUAAGCGCAGCGAUGCGUUGAGCUAACCGGUACUAAUGAACCGUGAGGCUUAACCUU
rnacentral:rRNA from 1 species